GCCAGAUGCAACCAAAUUUUCAUUUUUUGUAAACACAAUGCUGAACAAUAAUUUUUGAAAUACAAAUUUGAUUAGGAUUUGAAGUGAAAGUUCACCAUUCAACUUUAAUGGAAUAACUUUUUUUCCAAAGAAAUUGUAUAUAAGUACUUCUUUAACUUUAUUUCAAAAAUUAUUUUUUUAAUUUCAAUCAAAAACAGUCCAAACGUCUACAUCCCGCUUAUUUGUAAUGUUACUAGGCUAGUAACUACUCCCUCCGUUCCAAUUUAUAUGAACUUAUUUCAUUUUUGGUCUGUUCCAAAAAGAAUGACUUCUUUCUAAAUUUGAAAACAAUUUAGCUUAAACUUACAAUUUUAUCCUUAAUGAGAAGUUUUUAUAACCACACAAAUACUCUGGACACCUUUUUAACUUGUUUAGGACCACAAAUUUCAAAAGUCUUCAUUUUUUCUUAAACUCCGUGCUCAUCAGUCAAACAGGUUCACAUAAAUUGAAACGGAGGAAGUACAUUAUUCUCUGUCUGUUUCAUUUACGUGGCAUUGUUUAGUUAGACAUAAACAAAAGAAUACUUUUAGAAUUUGUGAUAUUAAACAUGAUAUAAACAUAUGUCUGACUAUAUGACUUUUGAUGCUUCUAAUCUUAAACAUGCAUAUAUUUAUGUUAGUAUAAAAACUAUCAUCAAGAGUAAAAUUAUAAGUUUAAAUUAAAUUAUUCCAAUCUUUAAAAGAAAUCAAUCUUAUUACAGGCUAAUAAGAAAAUAAUUAUAGAAAAUGAAACUAUGUGGAUAUAAGUUUUCUUUAUUAGUAAGUGGCGGAUCCAGGAUUUUGUACAAGCGCAAGUUUGUUUUUGUCUUUAUUAUUCACAACAUGAUCUCAUAAUAAAGUCCUCUUAAAGUUGGUGCUCUAUAUUUUAAAUAAUUUUGCUUAUUUUAAUUUAAAAAUCUAAUAUUACCUGAUUUAUUAAACUUUAACAAAAAAAGGGCCAAUUUUAGAAUUUAUAAACUCUAAGAAAUUUGAUCGAUUAUAAAAUCUUUUUAGCAUUUAUAAGUAACGAGUUAUUUUUUGCAAAAGAAGACAAUAAGAAAAGAGUUGCAAACUAAGCUAAUUAACACCAAUAAUCAAAGAAAGAGAGCUUAUACACUAAAAAAUUAAAUAUAAAAAAAAAGUUCCAACAUAAACUAAAUCAAAUUAAACUAACAAAUGACAAAUAAUUUCAACAAAUAUAUUUGCAAGCCUUAGCAAAUUUUAUAAAAGGGAGAACUAAAAUUAUCUUCUAGGGUAAAAAAAAACUUCCGUAUAAUUUUUAUUGAAUUUAUGUAAAGAAAAUAAACUAUAAAAUAAAAUAAAGAAAACGGCAAAAGAUAUACUACAAGGAAAAUAAUUUGAUUUGAUUGCAAAGACAUCUAUAUUGGACUAUAUUGCUAUCUUUAUGGGUUUGUAUCUCACGACCCAUAUUUCCCACCCUCGGGAGUCGUGAUAGUACCUGCUCGUGAAAGCCACGCAAGCCGAGUAUUAUGGAUUUACUCUUUUAUUUAACCCUUUUUAACAAUUUAAAUCAACAUGCGAUCAACAGUGAAAUAUUGACAAUAAUCAAAUACAUGUGGAAGACGUAAUCUGAUAACUUAGCCAAAAACAAGUACGACAAUAUCAAGUACAUCUCUACCCGGAACCAGUAUCACAAUACCACAGACCGUCUACGAAUACUACACACAAUUGUUUGGAAAGAAAGAUACACUCUGUCUCUGAAGUAAAUAAAACAGAAUAUAAAGAUAGAAGAGAACGUCAGGGCCUGCGGACGCCCGCAGGACUACCUCGGGAUCUCUGACUGGACUGAAGGCUCGCGUUCGGGGAGCUUCAGCCCCCAGAGCCUUCGCGUUCACGGUCGGGUGGCCGCGUUCGCGUAGAGUAAAAUCCCUCUCCCCCUGCCCAGGCCCAAAGGCCUUCCCGUUCGCAAUAGCAGGUCCGCGUUCGCGAAGGGAAACACCCCCAAAGCUUCGCGUUCGCGUCUUGUGUCUCGCGUUCGCGUAGAAGGAGAUUUCCUUCAGCUUGACUAAUCCUUCGCGUUCGCGAGAGUCCUUCUGCGAACGCGAAGAACAACACACCAGAAUAGCAGAAACUGAAAACCUGCAACUUUUUCUAAGUUCAACAACCUUUUGAGACCUAUCUGAAACUCACCCGAGCCCACGGGGCUCCAAGCCAAACAUGUACACUACCUCAAAAAUACCCUACGGACUUACUCGUGCGAUCAAAUUGCCAAAAUAACAUCAACAACUAUGUGUUUAGCAUCAAAAUCAUGAAAUCACUCAAGAAAUUUAAAUUUUCUAAUUUUUCUCAAAUACCGUCUAAUUCACGUCAUUUCCAGUCCGUUUCUUACCAAAUUUCACAGACUCGACUUAAACCACAUAUAAGACCUGCACCGGGCUCCGAAACAAAAAUAAGGGUCCAAUACCAUCAAAUUUUAAACACAUUUCAUUUUCAAAAACUCAUAAAUAUUCGAGAAAAUAAUUUUCUUCAAAAAUUCAUUUCUCGAGCUUGGGACCUCGAAAUUCGAUUCCGGGCAUACGCCCAAGUCCCAUAUUUUCCUACGGACCUUCCGGAACGGUCAAAUCACGGGUCCGGGUCCGUUUAUCCAAAAUGUUGACCAAGUCAACUUAAAUUCAUUUUAAAGUUAAAACUCAUCAUUUUUCAUAGAUUUUCAUAUAAUGGCUUUCCGGCUAUGCGCCUGGACUGCGCGCGCUAAUCGAGGUGAUGCUGAAAGAUGUUUUUAAGACCUCGGAAUGCAGAAAUUUAUUUCUAAAGCAAGUGAUGAUAUUUUGGCUCAUCACAUUCUCCACCUCUAAAACAACCGUUCAUCCUCGAACGGACAUAAGAAGGAAGUACCUGAGUUGGGAAAAAAUGGGGAUAACGGCUCUGCAUAUCGGACUAAGACUCCCAGGUCGACACCUUAGUAGGCUGACCUCUCCAUUGAACACGAACAAAAGAAAAACUCUUUGAUUUCAACUGACGAACCUGCCAGUCUAGAAUAGCUACCGGCUCCUCCUCAUAGGACAAGUCCUUUUCCAACUGAACAGUGUUGAAAUCUAAUACGUGGGAUGGAUCGCCGUGAUACUUCCGAAGCAUGGACACAUGAAACAUUGGAUGCACGGCUGAUAAGCUCGGUGGCAAUGCAAGUCUGUAAGCCACCUCUCUCACUCUAUCAAGAAUCUCAAACGGGUCAAUGAACAUAGGGCUAAGUUUGCCCUUCUUUCCAAAUUUCAUCACGCCCUUCAUAGGCGACACCCGAAGCAAUACCCGUUCACCGACCAUGAAAGCCAAAUCACGAACCUUACGAUCGGCAUAACUCUUUUGCCUGGACUGAGCUGUACGAAGCCUAUCCAGAAUAAUCCUGACCUUGUCCAAGGCAUCCUGAACUAGAUUUGUACCCAACAACCGAGCCUCUUCCGGCUCAAACCAUCCAACCGGCGACCGACACCACCUACCAUACAAGGCCUCAUAAGGAGCCAUCUAGAUACUCGAUUGGUAGCUGUUGUUGUAGGCAAAAUUUGCUAAAGGCAAAAACUGGUCCCACGAGCCUCCAAAGUCAAUGACACAAGCUCGGAGCAUAUCCUUCAAAAUCUGAAUGGUCCGCUCAGACUGCCCGUCUGUCUGAGGAUGAAACGUUGUGCUCAACUCAACCCGUGUGCCCAACUCUCGCUGAACUGCUCUCCAAAAAUGCGAGGUAAACUGCGUACCUCGAUCCGAAAUGAUAGAUACGAGCACACCAUGAAGACGAACAAUCUUCCGAAUAUAGAUCUCAGCUAGCCUCUCGGAAGAAUAUGAGACUGCCACAAGAAUGAAAUGUGCUGACUUAGUCAGCCUAUCAACAAUAGCCCACACUGCAUCAAACUUCCUCUAAGUUCGUGGAAGUUCAACAACGAAGUCCAUGGUAAUACGUUCACACUUCCACUCAGGAAUCUCAAUCUUUUGGAACAAACUACCAAGUCUUUGAUGCUUGUACUUAACCUGCUGACAAUUCAAACACCGAGCCACAUAUGCAAUAAUAUCCGUCUUCAUUCUUCUCCACCAGUAAUGCUGCCGCAGUUCCUGAUACAUCUUAGCGGCGCCCAGAUAAAUAGAGUACCGGGAACUAUGGGCCUCCUCUAAAAUCAACUAUCGGAGUCCAUCCACAUUAGGCACACAAAAUCGAUCCUGCAAUCUCAAAACUCCAUCAUAUCCUAAGGUAACCUGCUUGGCACCUCUGUGCUGCACCGUGUCUCUAAGGACACACAAAUGAGGAUCAUCAUACUGUCGAUCUCGGAUACGCUCCAAUAAAGAAAAAUGAGUGACUGCGUAAGCUAACACGCGACUGGGCUCAGAAACAACCAACCUCACGAACUGAUUGGCCAAAGCCUGAACAUCUAAAGCAAGCGGCCUCUUACCGACCGGAAUAUAAGUAAGACUACCCAUAUUGGCUGACUUCCUACUCAAAGCAUCAGCCACCACAUUGGCCUUUCCCGGAUGAUAUAAGAUGGUGAUAUCAUAGUCCUUCAACAGCUCCAACCACCUUCUCUGCCUCAAAUUUAGCUCCUUCUGCUUGAACAAGUAUGCAGACUCUUGUGAUCUGUGAACACCUCACAUGUCACGCCAUACAAAUAAUGCCUCCAAAUCUUCAAUGCGUGAACAAUGGAUGCCAACUCUAAAUCAUGAACCGAAUAGUUCUUCUCAUGAAUCUUCAACUGCCGCGAAGCAUAGGCAAUGACCUUGCCAUCCUGCAUCAACACCGCACCAAGUCCAAUACGAGAUACAUCACAAUAAACUAUGCAAGGCCUUGAACCUGUGGGCAAAACCAACACUGAUGCCGUGGUCAAAGCAGUCUUGAGCUUCUGAAAGCUCGCCUCAUACUCGUCCGACCACCUGAACUGGCCACCCUUCUGGGUCAACCUGGUCAUCCGGGCUACAAUAGACGAAAACCCCUCCACAAACCGACGAUAGUAACCUGCCAGACCCAAGAAACUCCUAAUCUCUGUAGCUGAUGCGGGUCUAGACCAAUUCUUGACUGCCUCUAUCUUCUUCGGAUCAACCUAAAUACCCUCUGCUAAUACAACAUGACCCAAGAAUGCAACCGAACUCAACCAGAACUCACACUUCAAAAACUUAGCAUACAACUGACUAUCCCUCAAAGUCUGAAGAACCACUCUAAGAUGUUGCUCGUUGUCACACCUCCUUUUUACCUACACCCCCGUAAAGGGCGUAAAGGAAUUUUUCCAAUUAAAGGACAAUCGAAACGGGAUUAUUAUUAAAAGAUUCAGUGUUGCCACUUGAGAGAUUUAUGGUGUCCCAAGUCACCGGUUGAAUCCCGAAUCGAGGAAAAGUUUGACUCUGUAUUACAGUUCGCGAACCAGAAAUCCGAGUAAGGAAUUCUGUUAACCCGGGAGAAGGUGUUAGGCAUUCCCGAGUUCCGUGGUUCUAGCACGGUCGCUCAACAAUAAUUGGCCUAUUAUCUGAUUUUAAUACAUGUUUUAGCCUAUGGUAUAAUUUUAAAUUAUUAACCGCUUUUUAUUAAUUUUAGGAAGAUUAAACGUCAUCUAAAACACGUCUUGAACCACGUUACAUAAAUGCACCCGCGAUCCACGACACAUUUUAUCUAACGUUGUUGAGAUUUGGAUUUGGGUCACAUAAAUGCACACCCGAAUUUGGAAAUUAGGUAUCGUAACUAUGUCACGGGAACCGUACCCACAAUCACGAUGGUUUAUUUUAUUAACAAAAUUAAAUUAUAGCCGGGUCCCAUAAAUGUACCCCCAGAUUUUAGAAUUUAAGUGCCAUAACCACGUCACGGAAACCGUACCCAUAGCUAUGACAAAUUUAAUUAAACGUGCCUAAAACAAAACUACGAGAGUUUUGUGAUUAUUUUUCCUACAAAUAGAUUAACCCUUUCAUUCAAAUAAGAUCCAAAUUCAAACUUAAUGUCUUCAACGUAAUUGGCAUGAGCUUAAAUAAUCAGAAUACUCCAAAAUAACACAAAGGAAGAAUACGCUAGAAUAGAAUUAAUAAUUAUCCCAAAAUUCAAGAUUAACUUCACAAAGAUUCACUUUUCUUAUCCCUUAAGCACCUGAAAUGUUACACAAAUAAAUAUGCAUAAUGAAGAAUUUAUAAUAAUAAACACUUGAGGCUAACUAGAAAGCACAAGCUAUGGGUUUCACUUCGGGACAUAGGCGAACAAACAUGGAAUUGACACAGUUAAAUUGAGCCUGUAAUUCAAUUGAGAGUCAUGCUAAAUCUGGAGAAAAUCGGUAAAAAAAUUGCCGAAUGAGCCAUUAGAUUAAAACACCAAUUUCCACUUUUAUGGAAGAAAUCGAAAAAAAAAGAAAAGAAUUUUUUUUUUAUCAACUUCAAAUGCAAUAACAAACAACAUUCACAUCUCAAUUAAUAAUAAAACUUGGACGGGUAGGCUUUGAUUUUUCUUUUGCGAAACCAAGCAUUCACAUCUCAAUUAUACUUUAAACUUGACACUUCCAUGAACUUCACCAUGAGGUUCAACAAACAAUUUUAAUGGACAGGAGCAAAAAUGAUAUCCAAAGCUAGCAACAUAGUGAGAAGGCAAAAAUUGGACCUUUGUAUUAAAUGAAUUUGAAGUUGAAAAACUUACAUCGGAACGAAGAUCGAACAAGAAACUAGCAACACCGGAACCUCGAACUUAAACCGGGAAUUGAUCUCGAACGGAAAGUCCAAAUCCGAACACCCACUCCAUUUUUGAAAACCGAAUCGGAAAGGACGAGAUUUCAGAAUAUAUCUUUACUUUUCUGAUUUUAUUUUUUUCAUUUUUUGAAAAAAAAAAAAAAAAUUGAGGAAACUAAAAAAAAUCUAGCAAUGGAAAGAAGAAAAACGUUCUCUGCUUUCCUCCCUUAAAUUUUUUCGUUUUUCGUUCCUCUUUCAUUUUUUNNNNNNNNNNNNNNNNNNNNNNNNNUAAUAGGACAGGAGCAAAAAUAGAUAUCCAAAGCUAGCAACAUAGUGAGAAGGCAAAAAUUGGACCUUUGUAUUAAAUGAAUUUGAAGUUGAAAAACUUACAUCGGAACGAAGAUCGAACAAGAAACUAGCAACACCGGAACCUCGAACUUAAACCGGGAAUUGAUCUCGAACGGAAAGUCCAAAUCCGAACACCCACUCCAUUUUUGAAAACCGAAUCGGAAAGGACGAGAUUUCAGAAUAUAUCUUUACUUUUCUGAUUUUAUUUUUUUAUUUUUUAAAAAAAAAAAAAAAUUGAGGAAACUAAAAAAAUCUAGCAAUGGAAAGAAGAAAAACGUUCUCUGCUUUCCUCCCUAAUUUUUUUGUUUUUUCGUUCCUCUUUCUUUUUUGUGUAUU
rnacentral:lncRNA from 1 species